rnacentral:rRNA from 1 species
CGAGAUUCCCCCAGUAGCGGCGAGCGAACGGGGAGCAGCCCAGAGCCUGAAUCAGUGUGUGUGUUAGUGGAAGCGUCUGGAAAGGCGCGCGAUACAGGGUGACAGCCCCGUACACAAAAAUGCACAUGCUGUGAGCUCGAUGAGUAGGGCGGGACACGUGGUAUCCUGUCUGAAUAUGGGGGGACCAUCCUCCAAGGCUAAAUACUCCUGACUGACCGAUAGUGAACCAGUACCGUGAGGGAAAGGCGAAAAGAACCCCGGCGAGGGGAGUGAAAAAGAACCUGAAACCGUGUACGUACAAGCAGUGGGAGCACGCUUCGGCGUGUGACUGCGUACCUUUUGUAUAAUGGGUCAGCGACUUAUAUUCUGUAGCAAGGUUAACCGAAUAGGGGAGCCGAAGGGAAACCGAGUCUUAACUGGGCGUUAAGUUGCAGGGUAUAGACCCGAAACCCGGUGAUCUAGCCAUGGGCAGGUUGAAGGUUGGGUAACACUAACUGGAGGACCGAACCGACUAAUGUUGAAAAAUUAGCGGAUGACUUGUGGCUGGGGGUGAAAGGCCAAUCAAACCGGGAGAUAGCUGGUUCUCCCCGAAAGCUAUUUAGGUAGCGCCUCGUGAAUUCAUCUCCGGGGGUAGAGCACUGUUUCGGCAAGGGGGUCAUCCCGACUUACCAACCCGAUGCAAACUGCGAAUACCGGAGAAUGUUAUCACGGGAGACACACGGCGGGUGCUAACGUCCGUCGUGAAGAGGGAAACAACCCAGACCGCCAGCUAAGGUCCCAAAGUCAUGGUUAAGUGGGAAACGAUGUGGGAAGGCCCAGACAGCCAGGAUGUUGGCUUAGAAGCAGCCAUCAUUUAAAGAAAGCGUAAUAGCUCACUGGUCGAGUCGGCCUGCGCGGAAGAUGUAACGGGGCUAAACCAUGCACCGAAGCUGCGGCAGCGACGCUGAUGCGUUGUUGGGUAGGGGAGCGUUCUGUAAGCCUGCGAAGGUGUGCUGUGAGGCAUGCUGGAGGUAUCAGAAGUGCGAAUGCUGACAUAAGUAACGAUAAAGCGGGUGAAAAGCCCGCUCGCCGGAAGACCAAGGGUUCCUGUCCAACGUUAAUCGGGGCAGGGUGAGUCGACCCCUAAGGCGAGGCCGAAAGGCGUAGUCGAUGGGAAACAGGUUAAUAUUCCUGUACUUGGUGUUACUGCGAAGGGGGGACGGAGAAGGCUAUGUUGGCCGGGCGACGGUUGUCCCGGUUUAAGCGUGUAGGCUGGUUUUCCAGGCAAAUCCGGAAAAUCAAGGCUGAGGCGUGAUGACGAGGCACUACGGUGCUGAAGCAACAAAUGCCCUGCUUCCAGGAAAAGCCUCUAAGCAUCAGGUAACAUCAAAUCGUACCCCAAACCGACACAGGUGGUCAGGUAGAGAAUACCAAGGCGCUUGAGAGAACUCGGGUGAAGGAACUAGGCAAAAUGGUGCCGUAACUUCGGGAGAAGGCACGCUGAUAUGUAGGUGAAGUCCCU